rnacentral:rRNA from 1 species
UACGAGUAGGGCUACACACGUGCUACAAUGGCGCAUACAAAGAGAAGCGACCUCGCGAGAGCAAGCGGACCUCAUAAAGUGCGUCGUAGUCCGGAUUGGAGUCUGCAACUCGACUCCAUGAAGUCGGAAUCGCUAGUAAUCGUAGAUCAGAAUGCUACGGUGAAUACGUUCCCGGGCCUUGUACACACCGCCCGUCACACCAUGGGAGUGGGUUGCAAAAGAAGUAGGUAGCUUAACCUUCGGGAGGGCGCUUACCACUUUGUGAUUCAUGACUGGGGUGAAGUCGUAACAAGGUAACCGUAGGGGAACCUGCGGGUGGAUCACCU